rnacentral:rRNA from 1 species
UUUCCCGGUGGCCUUGCCGGAGGGGUCACACCCGUUCCCAUACCGAACACGGAAGUUAAGCCCUCCAAGGCCGAUGAUACUGCUGCUGUGAGGCAGUGGGACAGUAGGACGCUGCCGGGUUAC